GCUUGGGUGGCGCAGCUAACGCAUUAAGUCAUCCGCCUGGGGAGUACGGCCGCAAGGUUAAAACUCAAAUGAAUUGACGGGGGCCUGCACAAGCGGUGGAGCAUGUGGUUUAAUUCGAAGCAACGCGCAGAACCUUACCAGCGUUUGACAUGUCCGGACGAUUCCCAGAGAUGGGUCUCUUCCCUUCGGGGACUGGAACACAGGUGCUGCAAGGCUGUCGUCAGCUCGUGUCGUGAGAUGUUGGGUUAAGUCCCGCAACGAGCGCAACCCUCGCCUUUAGUUGCCAUCAUUCAGUUGGGCACUCUAAAGGAACCGCCGGUGAUAAGCCGGAGGAAGGUGGGGAUGACGUCAAGUCCUCAUGGCCCUUACGCGCUGGGCUACACACGUGCUACAAUGGCGGUGACAGUGGGCAGCAAUCCCGCAAGGGUGAGCUAAUCUCCAAAAGCCGUCUCAGUUCGGAUUGCACUCUGCAACUCGAGUGCAUGAAGGCGGAAUCGCUAGUAAUCGCGGAUCAGCAUGCCGCGGUGAAUACGUUCCCAGGCCUUGUACACACCGCCCGUCACACCAUGGGAGUUGGAUUCACCCGAAGGCGUUGCGCUAACCAGCAAUGGAGGCAGGCGACCACGGUGGGUUUAGCG
rnacentral:rRNA from 1 species